UACGUAGGGGGCAAGCGUUGUCCGGAAUCAUUGGGCGUAAAGCGCGUGUAGGCGGCCCGGUAAGUCCGCUGUGAAAGUCGGGGGCUCAACCCUCGGAUGCCGGUGGAUACUGUCGGGCUAGAGUGCGGGAGAGGCGAGUGGAAUUCCUGGUGUAGCGGUGAAAUGCGCAGAUAUCAGGAGGAACACCAAUUGCGAAGGCAGCUCGCUGGAACGCUACUGACGCUGAGACGCGAAAGCGUGGGGAGCAAACAGG
rnacentral:rRNA from 1 species